UAGGUGAUGCUGGGGCAGGUAAAUCCACUCCAGAUAUUAUAGCUGAAGGUGAGGGGAAGCUGAGGGGAGACCCGAGGCGACUUAGCUGAACCCAUGCCGCCAAGAAAAGCCUCGUUAUCUGUGAAGUAGCAGCGCCCGUACCGCAAACCGACUCUGGUAGGUAGGGAUGAGAGUCCUGAGGUGAUCGAGACAACCCUCGUUAAGGAACUCGGCAAUUUAGCCCCGUAACUUUGGGAGAAGGGGUACCCACGUAGGUGGGUGACACUAAAUGGGUCCAAGCGACUGUUUAACAAAAACAUAGGUCUCUGCUAAAGCGUAAGCUGAUGUAUAGGGGCUGACACCUGCCCAGUGCUGGAAGGUUAAGGGGAUGGGUUAGGAGCAAUCCAAAGCCCUGAACUGAAGCCCCAGUGAACGGCGGCCGUAACUAUAACGGUCCUAAGGUAGCGAAAUCCCUUGUCGGGUAAGUUCCGACCCGCACGAAUGGUGUAACGACUUGGGCGCUGUCUCAACGAGGGACUCGGCGAAAUUGAAAUACCCGUGAAGAUGCGGGUUACCCGCGACAGGACAAAAAGACCCCGUGGAGCUUUACUAUAGCUUGGCACUGGGUCUGAGUUCAUCAUGUGUAGCAUAGGUGGGAGGCUUUGAAGCCCUUCCGCUAGGAAGAGUGGAGCCACCGUUGAAAUACCACCCUUGAUGAGUUUUGCCUCUAACCCCAGAGCAAGCUGGGGGACAGUGUCUGGUGGGUAGUUUGACUGGGGCGGUCGCCUCCUAAAAGGUAACGGAGGCGCCCAAAGGUCCCCUCAGGGUGGAUGGAAACCACCCAUAGAGUGCAUUGGCAUAAGGGGGCUUGACUGUGAGACCUACAAGUCGAGCAGGGACGAAAGUCGGGCAAAGUGAUCCUACGGCUCCUUGUGGAAGGGCCGUGGCUUAACGGAUAAAAGCUACCCCGGGGAUAACAGGCUUAUCUUGCCCAAGAGUUCAUAUCGACGGCAAGGUUUGGCACCUCGAUGUCGGCUCGUCACAUCCUGGGGCUGGAGAAGGUCCCAAGGGUCCGGCUGUUCGCCGGUUAAAGCGGCACGCGAGCUGGGUUCAGACCGUCGUGAGACAGGUCGGUCUCUAUCCGUCGUGGGCGUCCGGAGAUUUGAGGAGAGCUCUCUCUAGUACGAGAGGACCGGCGUGGACAGACCUCUGGUGAUCCGGUUGUUCCGCCAGGAGCAUUGCCGGGUAGCUACGUCUGGAACGGAUAACCGAUGAAAGCAUCUAAGCGGGAAG
rnacentral:rRNA from 1 species